AAACCAAAGAGAUAGCUAAAUCUGGAGGAGUGUAUCAGAACGUAGAGCAAUAUCUAGGAAGUAUGUAUUAUGAUACAACACAGGUCUAUACAGAUGCAUCUAAAGAUUCAGAGGGUAAAACAGGUAUUGCAGCAUAUAUCCCUGAUCACAAAAUCUCAAUUAAAAAGAGAACAUCAGACCAUCUGUCCAUAUUUGCAGCUGAAAUGACAGCUAUUAUUAUUGCAUUACAGUGGAUAGAAGAAGCUAGGCCCCCUAAAGCAGUUAUUUGUUCUGAUUCAAUGUCAUCUCUCACAUCUAUACAAAAUGGAGAAUCAUCAUGCCGACAGGAUUUAUUGAAUGAAAUUAAUAAUAUCAUAUUUGCAAUCAGUCAACAGGGAAUAUCAAUCCAGUUUGUAUGGGUACCUGCUCAUAAAGCUUGUUGGUGGUAAUGAGGAAGCAGACAAGCUGGCAAAAGAGGCAACUAAGGAAGAGGAAGUUCAGUUAAACAUUCCUCUCAGCACAUUCCUCUCAGCAGAUCAGAAGUUAAGUCCAGUAGAUGGCGGUAAUACACUUUGCCUGUAAACUGCCAUAAAACCUGACGGAAGAAGAAGAAGAAGAACGAGGGUGAGGCAGAGCAGAGCAGGAACAGGUGGAGGUCAUCAGACUUCAAUCAGCGCGUGUUACCAGGCAGAGAGAGAGCUCAUGACAGUCUUACUAACAUCCCACUCAUGGCCUGUACCUUGAUGUGGUGAGUGGGCAUUCCACUAAACAGGCCUUGCUUUAUGGAUGUUUGCAGCCAUGUUUCUGAUAGUAAUUGUAAAUGCCAUAGUUUUUUUGUGUUGAUUAAGAUGCUUUUUCUGCUCCAGAGAGUGUUGAACAGCACCCUUGCCUUGCUUAUAUGGCUUUUAAUGUCUGCUUCUGUCUGUCCAGUGGUGUUAGCAACACUUUCCAAGUAUGACUUCUUGUUUUCUUGUUAUGUUUAUGAUCUUGGCGUGUGCACAUCCCAACUUUUGGAAUGGAUGUGGAUAGAUUUCCCAUGCAUCCAUUUGAACAACAAACUUGACAACUUCACGAGAGUGUGUGUGUGUGCGCACCUUCAUGCCAGCUCCUCGGAGUGGAACUCUAUCAGCCCUGCUGAGCGAGAGUUCUGUUCAAGCGUCAGUUGUCGUGGCUGGAGAUCUGUAAUAUGACAGCGGACGCUCUGAGUGACGACAGCAGCUUCUGGAACACCAUCAAGUCCCACGACACAUGGAGACGCAUUCCAGAGUUCCAUGGCACCUGGAGACGCAGCAGCACGGCCGGAGAAUGCAGGAUCAAGCCCAGUACAACACUUUUUUUCCCAUUUGGCAGAAACAUUCUGCAUCACCCUGACGAUGAUGGAGAGUAUGAGCACACACACACACACACACACACACACAGAUAAUCGUGUGUGUUUUCUGUCUCUUCCAGGACAUGGAGAUCUCUGCAGCACUUUGGAUUUGACCUGAUCACUGUCUUCGUCACUUUUGGACACAUUACAUAGUUGGUAGAGCUCAAUGUGUGUGUGUGUCUGUGAGUGAAUCUGCAACCUACAGAGCUGCAGAUCAACAGAGGUCAGAUCAUAUCAACAGAGGUCAUAGA